CGGCGUGGAUGAGGCAUGCAAGUCGAACGGUAUGGUGGCAACACCAUAUAGUGGCGCAAGGGUUAGUAAUACUUGGGUAAUCUACCUCUGACACUGGAAUAACGGCUGGAAACGGCCGCUAAUACUGGAUGAGGUGGUUUAAGGCAUCUUAAAUCAUCAAAGGUGGGGGAUCGAAAGACCUCAUGGUGAGAGAAGAGCCCAAGAGAUAUCAGCUUGUUGGUAGGGUAAUGGCCUACCAAGGCUAANACGUCUAGGCGGAUUGAGAGAUUGACCGCCAACACUGGGACUGAGACACUGCCCAGACUCCUACGGGAGGCUGCAGUCGAGAAUCUUUCGCAAUGGGCGCAAGCCUGACGAAGCGACGCCGUGUGAACGAAGAAGGCCUUCGGGUUGUAAAGUUCUUUCGCCGGGGAACAAGAGAUGCUAGCUAAUAACUAGCAAAUUUGAUGGUACUCGGUAAAGAAGCACCGGCUAACUCCGUGCCAGCAGCUGCGGUAAUACGGAGGGUGCAAGCAUUGAUCGGAAUUAUUGGGCGUAAAGGGCGCGUAGGCGGCAAGAUAAGUCAGAUGUGAAAUUCCGGGGCUCAACCCCGGAGCUGCAUUUGAAACUAUCUAGCUAGAGUGCAGUUAGGGAAAACGGAAUUCCACGUGUAGCGGUGAAAUGCGUAGAUAUGUGGAAGAACACCGGUGGUGAAGACGGUUUUCUGGGCUGUUACUGACGCUGAGGCGCGAAAGCUAGGGGAGCAAACAGGAUUAGAUACCCUGGUAGUCCUAGCCGUAAACGAUGCAUACUAGACGUAGGAGGGCUCAACCCCUUUUGUGUCGGAGCUAACGCAUUAAGUAUGCCGCCUGAGGAGUACGCUCGCAAGGGUGAAACUCAAAAGAAUUGACGGGGGCCCGCACAAGCAGUGGAGCAUGUGGUUUAAUUCGAUGCAACGCGAAGAACCUUACCUGGGCUCGAAAUGUAGAGGACGGUAUCAGAGAUGAUACUUCUCGUAUGAGUCUCUAUAUAGGUGCUGCAUGGCUGUCGUCAGCUCGUGCCGUGAGGUGUUUGGUUAAGUCCAGCAACGAGCGCAACCCUUAUC
rnacentral:rRNA from 1 species